rnacentral:rRNA from 1 species
ACUCAAAGGAAUUGACGGGGGCCCGCACAAGCGGUGGAGCAUGUGGUUCAAUUCGACGCAACGCGCAGAACCUUACCCGGACUUGACAUCCUCGGAACCUGCCAGAGAUGGCGGGGUGCUCGCAAGAGAACCGAGAGACAGGUGCUGCAUGGCUGUCGUCAGCUCGUGUCGUGAGAUGUUGGGUUAAGUCCCGCAACGAGCGCAACCCUCGCCUUUAGUUGCCAUCAUUUAGUUGGGCACUCUAGAGGGACUGCCGGUGAUAUAUCGGAGGAAGGUGGGGAUGACGUCAAGUCCUCAUGGCCUUUAUGUCCGGGGCUACACACGUGCUACAAUGGCCGGUACAAAGGGUAGCUAACUUGCGAGAGGGAGCCAAUCCCAAAAAACCGGUCUCAGUUCGGAUCGUAGUCUGCAACUCGACUGCGUGAAGGAGGAAUCGCUAGUAAUCGAAGAUCAGCACGCUUCGGUGAAUACGUUCCCGGGCCUUGUACACACCGCCCGU